CCUACGGGUGGCAGCAGUCGAGAAUCAUUCACAAUGGGGGAAACCCUGAUGGUGCGACGCCGCGUGGGGGAAUGAAGGUCUUCGGAUUGUAAACCCCUGUCAUGUGGGAGCAAAUUUAAAAGAUAGUACCACAAGAGGAAGAGACGGCUAACUCUGUGCCAGCAGCCGCGGUAAUACAGAGGUCUCAAGCGUUGUUCGGAAUCACUGGGCGUAAAGCGUGCGUAGACUGUUUCGUAAGUCGUGUGUGAAAGGCGCGGACUCAACCCGCGGACGGCACAUGAUACUGCGAGACUAGAGUAAUGGAGGGGGAACCGGAAUUCGUGGUGUAGCAGUGAAAUGCGUAGAUAUCGAGAGGAACACUCGUGGCGAAGGCGGGUUCCUGGACAUUAACUGACGCUGAGGCACGAAGGCCAGGGGAGCGAAAGGGAUUAGAUACCCGGGUAGUC
rnacentral:rRNA from 1 species